ACGACGGGACGCUGCCGAGACCCGGGCCCAGGGUUUAAAAGCCCGGCGAAGAGCCCCAGCAGAGAGGCGCGCGAUGGCGUAAGCUGGACUGCCGUACUUCCAGGGAUGCUGAUAAACUAUAGGGACCAACAAA